rnacentral:rRNA from 1 species
GACAAACGCUCGGCGGCGGUGCAUAACACGUGCAAGUCGAACGAGAAUCCAGGAGCGCUUACGCCUUCGGGUGGAGCGCUGUGGAGGACAGUGGCGAACGGGUGAGUAACGCGUAAGAAACCUGCCUUGUACAGAGGGAUAGCAGCUGGAAACGGCUAUUAAUACCUCAUGAAGCCGAUCCAUCGCAUGAGGGAACGGCCAAAGAUUUAUCGGUAUGAGAUGGACUUGCGUCUGAUUAGCUAGUUGGUGAGAUAAAAGCCCAUCAAGGCAACGAUCAGUAGCCGGCUUGAGAGAGUGUACGGCCACAUUGGGACUGAGACACGGCCCAA